rnacentral:rRNA from 1 species
GACGAACGCUGGCGGCGUGCUUAACACAUGCAAGUCGAACGGAAAGGCCCUGCUUUUGUGGGGUGCUCGAGUGGCGAACGGGUGAGUAACACGUGAGUAACCUGCCCUUGACUUUGGGAUAACUUCAGGAAACUGGGGCUAAUACCGGAUAGGAGCUCCUGCUGCAUGGUGGGGGUUGGAAAGUUUCGGCGGUUGGGGAUGGACUCGCGGCUUAUCAGCUUGUUGGUGGGGUAGUGGCUUACCAAGGCUUUGACGGGUAGCCGGCCUGAGAGGGUGACCGGCCACAUUGGGACUGCGAUACGGCCCAGACUCCUACGGGAGGCAGCAGUGGGGAAUAUUGCACGAUGGGCGGAAGCCUGAUGCAGCAACGCCGCGUGCGGGAUGACGGCCUUCGGGUUGUAAACCGCUUUCGCCUGUGACGAAGCGUGAGUGACGGUAAUGGGUAAAGAAGCACCGGCUAACUACGUG